CCCAGGUACAGGGGGCACGUGGCACGCCCCUCGGUGGACCAGGAGACGUAUGUCCUAUUACAGAUUUGGCUUUUGAUGUCCUAUGUACCAACUCUUGGCCUAACUUCAGUUACCACAGAAUUCUCCAAGAAACAGCAAUGCUAUU